rnacentral:lncRNA from 1 species
UUCUAAGUUUGGGGUGGUGAUGAAGGUUGAAAAACGGUUAUUUUCAUAUGUCAUUUUAGACCAAAUUACUCCCUAGACUGCAUAGAAUGAGCUUAGAAUCAAGCAAAACUCAAUAAAUGAGUCUGUAGAGAGUCAAUAGCUAUUUUUAGCGAUAUUAUGCUUCUUUUGCAUUGUUUUGUAGCAUUUUUGAAAAAGUGAAGAAUGGAGCUAAAAAUGAAGGCCUAGACUCAAGAAAAGGGAAGAAAAAAAUGAAGAAAUGAAGAGUCGACGUACCGCCC